rnacentral:rRNA from 1 species
CGCAGCCGCGGUAAUUCCAGCUCCAAUAGCGUAUAUUAAAGUUGUUGCAGUUAAAAAGCUCGUAGUUGAAUUUCGGGGUUAGUAAGCUGGUCGUGCCACUGGUAUGUACUGGUUUUACUGAUCUCUCCUUCUUGUAGAACCGUAAUGCCAUUAAUUUGGUGUUGCGGGGAAACAGGACUGUUACUUUGAAAAAUUAGAGUGUUUAAAGCAGGCUAACGCUUGAAUACAUUAGCAUAGAAUAAUGAAAUAGGACGUUCGAUCCUAUUUUGUUGGUUUCUAGGAUUGACGUAAUGAUUAAUAGGGAUAGUUGGGGGCAUUAGUAUUCAAUUGUCAGAGGUGAAAUUCUUGGAUUUAUUGAAGACUAACUACUGCGAAAGCAUUUGCCAAGGAUGUUUCAUUAAUCAAGAACGAAAGUUAGGGGAUCGAAGACGAUCAGAUACGUCGUAGUCU